rnacentral:lncRNA from 1 species
AGGGGAUAAAAAUAUUCUGAUAUUUUUCUAGGUUUUGUAGUAUUUUGUUAUUGGUCGGAUUUUUUUAAUUAAAAUAAAUUUUUUUGCAGUUCCCGUCAUGGAGCAGCAGAAACAAAUCUCACUAGGAACCAUGAGGUUGAGGGUUCGAUCCCUGGCCUCCAUCAGUGGGUUAAGGAUCCGCCUUGCCGUGAGCUGUGGUGUAGGUCACAGGCGUGACUCAGAUCUGGUGUGGCUGUGGCUGUGGCUGUGGUGUAGGCCGGCAGCUAUAGCUUCACUCAGACCCCUAGCCUGGGAACCUCCAUAUGCCACAGGUGCAGCCCUAAAAAAACUAACUAACUAAAUAAAUAAUUUUUUUGUUUUAUGAUUUUAAUUUUUUACACUGUAGUUGACUUAGUGUUCCUUACAGUUGAUUCCUACUGUACAGCAAAGUGACCCAGUCUCACACAUAUGUAUAUAUUCUUUCUCACACCAUCUCCCACCACGUUCCAUCACAAGUAAUGGAACACAGUUCCCCGUGCUACACAGCAGGAUCUCACCGUCCAUCCACUCCAAAUGCACCAGUCUGCAUGCACCAACCCCAAACUCCCAAUCCAUCCCACCCCCCCACCCAUCCCCCAUCAGAUUUUUAAACUUUAAAAUUUGUUGUAAUUUCUUUUCUCAUUCUAAACAACUGUUCCUUUUUGUAUGCUUAAUUCACUGUUUGUAUCUUGUGUUCUUUUUAUUGAAGGUGAUGCUAAAGAUUAUACUAGCUUUAGGCCCCACAAAGCAUGGAUCCGCCCCUGUCUACCAGCAGAGCAGAUGGGGGAAAGCUACUAUGGAUGGGAAAAAUCGAGGGACAGAGAACAAGAGUCUUAUUUCAGACCACAUUCAUCACAAAGGUCAUGUCCAAGGAGAAUGUGACACUGAAAACUUUGAAUGUUUGGACCAUUGCAUCUCAACUCUGGCUGCGCAAUGGAGUCAUCUGGGGAGUUUUGUAAAAGCGCUCAUGCCUCACUCCCAUUCCAGACCGAAUACAUCAUCAUCUCGGGCCAGAAGCCGAGCACUGGCAUGCUUUCAAAUCUGGUACCGGUCAAGUAUCUUCCAGCUCUGA